AACGAACGCUGGCGGCAGGCUUAACACAUGCAAGUCGAGCGCCCGCAAGGGAGCGGCAGACGGGUGAGUAACGCGUGGGAAUCUACCUAGUUCUACGGAACAACACAGGGAAACUUGUGCUAAUACCGUAUACGCCCUACGGGGGAAAGAUUUAUCGGAAUUAGAUGAGCCCGCGUUGGAUUAGCUAGUUGGUGGGGUAAUGGCCUACCAAGGCGACGAUCCAUAGCUGGUCUGAGAGGAUGAUCAGCCACACUGGGACUGAGACACGGCCCAGACUCCUACGGGAGGCAGCAGUGGGGAAUAUUGGACAAUGGGCGAAAGCCUGAUCCAGCCAUGCCGCGUGAGUGAUGAAGGCCUUAGGGUUGUAAAGCUCUUUCAGUAGGGAAGAAAAUGACGGUACCUGACUAAGAAGCCCCGGCUAACUACGUGCCAGCCGCCGCCGUAA
rnacentral:rRNA from 1 species